rnacentral:rRNA from 1 species
GUUUAGACUAUAUCACAAUCGCGGAGACACCGUGAUAAGUUGGAUCUCAGAGCGCCAGCAUAAAAUGGGCUGUCCAGAUGCUUAAAAGCAUUUGCAGCAAGGGCCGGGCAAGGCCGGCCCAGCCGCCGCGAAACACCGGCGGCCCGAGUGGUAACCGUUCUUAUUGGUCCUAAAGGCCGGUAGCCGGCCAAGUAAGCCUUUGGGAAUCUGUAGCUCGACUAUCAGGCUGCCAGGGGAUACUGCUUGGCUUGGGACCGGGGAGGUGAGAGUACCUCAGGGUAGGUUGAAUCUGGAAUCCUUGAGAACCCCAUGCCAAGGAUUUCACAAAAGGGUCCGACGUAAGGACGAAAGCUGGGGCACAACCGGAUUAGAUACCCGGUAGUCCUAGCCGUAACGAUGCUCGCUAGGUGUCAUCACGUGCGACCGUGAUUGGUGCCGAAGGAAGCCGGAAGCGAGCAACUGGAGCAUGGCGGAGGCUGAAACUUAAAGAUUGGCGGGGAAGGGCGAUUCGUUAACCUCAGACUAGUCCUUAUGAGGGUAAUUCUGAGCUGAGUAUCAUGGCAUAGCUGUACUGAACGCAGUUGGUUCUGAUACACUCGCCCUGAGCGUUCGAUCGAAGCUUCUGCUUGCGGGUCAG